AACGUAGGUGGCGGGCGUUAUCCGGAUUUACUGGGCGUAAAGGGUGUGCAGGCGGGCUGUUAAGUGGUGUAUGAAAUAUCCCGGCUCAACCGGGAGAGGUUAUGCCAGACUGGCAGUCUAGAGAGCGAGAGAGGGAUGUGGAAUUCCGGGUGUAGUGGUGAAAUGCGUAGAGAUCCGGAGGAACCCCAGAGGCGAAGGCGACGCCCUGGCUCGUACCUGACGCUCAGCCACGAAAGCAUGGGGAGCGAACGGG
rnacentral:rRNA from 1 species